AACGAACGCUGGCGGCAGGCCUAACACAUGCAAGUCGAACGCUCUAGCAAUAGGGAGUGGCGCACGGGUGAGUAACGCGUAGGAAUCUACCCAUUAGCCUGGGAUAACAGCGGGAAACUGCUGCUAAUACCGGAUACGCUCCUUCGGGAGGAAAGGUUUACUACUAAUGGAUGAGCCUGCGCUAGAUUAGCUAGUUGGUGAGGUAAUGGCUCACCAAGGCUCCGAUCUAUAGCCGGUCUGAGAGGACGAUCGGCCACACUGGGACUGAGACACGGCCCAGACUCCUACGGGAGGCAGCAGUGGGGAAUAUUGGGCAAUGGGCGCAAGCCUGACCCAGCCAUGCCGCGUGAGUGAUGAAGGCCUUAGGGUUGUAAAGCUCUUUUAGUAGCGAAGAUGAUGACAGUAGCUACAGAAAAAGCCCCGGCUAACUUCGUGCCAGCCGCCGCAGUAAUAC
rnacentral:rRNA from 1 species